AUACGGAGGGUGCAAGCGUUACUCGGAAUCACUGGGCGUAAAGCGCGCGCAGGCGGGCUGAUAAGUUGGAUGUGAAAGCCUACGGCUCAACCGUAGAACUGCAUCCAAAACUGUCAGUCUCGAGUGUGGGAGAGGAAGAUGGAAUUAGUUGUGUAGGGGUAAAAUCCGUAGAGAUAACUAGGAAUACCAAAAGCGAUGGCAAUCUUCUGGAACGCUACUGACGCUGAGGCGCGAAGGCGUGGGGAGCAAACAGGAUUAGAAACCCUAGUAGUCC
rnacentral:rRNA from 1 species